CACCGGCAGCUCUAGUGGUAACAAUUUUUAUUGGGCCCUAAAGCGUCCGUAGCCGGUUUAAUAAGUCUCUGGUGAAAUCCUGUAGCUUAACUGUGGGAAUUGCUGGAGAUACUAUUAGACUUGAGACCGGGAGAGGUUAGAGGUACUCCCAGGGUAGAGGUGAAAUUCUGUAAUCCUGGGAGGACCGCCUGUUGCGAAGGCGUCUAACUGGAACGGUUCUGACGGUGAGGGAGAAAGUUAGGGGCGCGAACCGGAUUAGAUACCCUGGUAGUCCCUGAGCGGGCUGGCAAGG
rnacentral:rRNA from 1 species